UCUGCCCAUCAGACGGGGACAACGAUUGGAAACGAUCGCUAAUACCGGAUAGGACGAAAGUUUAAGGGUGCUUCUGGCACCGCUGAUGGAUGAGCCUCCGGCGCAUUAGCUAGUUGGUAGGGGUAAAGGCCUACCAAGGCGACGAUGCGUAUCCGACCUGAGAGGGUGAACGCCCACACUGGGACUGAGACACGGCCCAGACUCUUACGGGAGCCAGCAGUAGGGAAUCUUCGGCAAUGGGCGAAAAGCCUGACCGAGCAACGCCGCGUGAAUGAUGAAGGCCUUCGGGUUGUCAAAUUCUGUUAUAAGGGAAGAACGACUCUAGUAGGACAUUGGCUAGAGUGUGACGGUACCUUAUGAGAAAGCCACGGCUAACUACGUGCCAGCAGCCGCGGUAAUACGUAGCUGGCGAGCGUUAUCCGGAAUUAUUGGGCGUAAAGAGCGCGCAGGUGGUUGAUUAAGUCUGAUGUGAAAGCCCACGGCUUAACCGUGGAGGGUCAUUGGAUACUGGUCGACUUGAGUGCAGAAGAGGGAAGUGGAAUUCCAUGUGUAGCGGUGAAAUGCGUAGAGAUAUGGAGGAACACCAGUGGCGAAGGCGGCUUCUUGGUCUGUAACUGACACUGAGGCGCGAAAGCGUGGGGAGCAAACAGGAUUAGAUACCUUGUUAGUCCACGCCGUGAACGAUGAGUGCUA
rnacentral:rRNA from 1 species